rnacentral:rRNA from 1 species
UACGUAGGGGGCAAGCGUUGUCCGGAAUCACUGGGCGUAAAGGGCGCGUAGGCGGCUAUGCAAGUCAGGCGUGAAAGCCCCGGGCUCAACCCGGGAAUUGCGCUUGAUACUGUGUGGCUUGAGUCCGGGAGAGGAUGGCGGAAUUCCCAGUGUAGAGGUGAAAUUCGUAGAUAUUGGGAAGAACACCGGUGGCGAAGGCGGCCAUCUGGACCGGUACUGACGCUGAGGCGCGAAAGCGUGGGGAGCAAACAGG